rnacentral:rRNA from 1 species
CACGCCGUAAACGUUGAGAACUAAGUGUUGGGGAGACCCAGUGCUGAAGCUAACGCAUUAAGUUCUCCGCCUGAGGAGUACGCACGCAAGUGUAAAACUUAAAGGAAUUGACGGGGGCCCGCACAAGCAGUGGAGCAUGUGGUUUAAUUCGUGGCUACGCGAAGAACCUUACCAGGGCUUGACAUAUAUGCGCUAGCACUAGAGAUAGUGGGUUCUCUUCGGAGACGUAUAUACAGGUGG